rnacentral:rRNA from 1 species
ACGCUGGCGGCGUGCCUAAUACAUGCAGGUAGAACGCUGAAGAGAGGAGCUUGCUCUUCUUGGAUGAGUUGCGAACGGGUGAGUAACGCGUAGGUAACCUGCCUUGUAGCGGGGGAUAACUAUUGGAAACGAUAGCUAAUACCGCAUAACAAUGGAUGACACAUGUCAUUUAUUUGAAAGGGGCAAUUGCUCCACUACAAGAUGGACCUGCGUUGUAUUAGCUAGUAGGUGAGGUAACGGCUCACCUAGGCGACGAUACAUAGCCGACCUGAGAGGGUGAUCGGCCACACUGGGACUGAGACACGGCCCAGACUCCUACGGGAGGCAGCAGUAGGGAAUCUUCGGCAAUGGGGGCAACCCUGACCGAGCAACGCCGCGUGAGUGAAGAAGGUUUUCGGAUCGUAAAGCUCUGUUGUAAGUCAAGAACGAGUGUGAGAGUGGAAAGUUCACACUGUGACGGUAGCUUACCAGAAAGGGACGGCUAACUACGUGCCAGCAGCCGCGGUAAUACGUAGGUCCCGAGCGUUGUCCGGAUUUAUUGGGCGUAAAGCGAGUGCAGGCGGUUUGAUAAGUCUGAAGUUAAAGGCUGUGGCUCAACCAUAGUUCGCUUUGGAAACUGUCAAACUUGAGUGCAGAAGGGGAGAGUGGAAUUCCAUGUGUAGCGGUGAAAUGCGUAGAUAUAUGGAGGAACACCGGUGGCGAAAGCGGCUCUCUGGUCUGUAACUGACGCUGAGGCUCGAAAGCGUGGGGAGCGAACAGGAUUAGAUACCCUGGUAGUCCACGCCGUAAACGAUGAGUGCUAGGUGUUGGAUCCUUUCCGGGAUUCAGUGCCGCAGCUAACGCAUUAAGCACUCCGCCUGGGGAGUACGACCGCAAGGUUGAAACUCAAAGGAAUUGACGGGGGCCCGCACAA